ACCAGACUCCUACGGGAGGCAGCAGUGAGGAAUAUUGGUCAAUGGCCGGAAGGCUGAACCAGCCAAGUCGCGUGAGGGAAGAAGGUACUGAGUAUUGUAAACCUCUUUUGCCAGGGGACAAAGGCGGCCACGGGUGGCCGUAAGAGGGUACCUGGAGAAAAAGCAUCGGCUAACUCCGUGCCAGCAGCCGCGGUAAUCCGGAGGGUGCAAGCGUUGUCCGGAAUCAUUGGGCGUAAAGAGUUCGUAGGCGGCAUGUAAAGUCAGGUGUUAAAGGCGCAGGCUCAACCUGUGUAUGGCACUUGAUACUUGCAAGCUGGAAUGCGGUAGAGGUAAAGGGAAUUCCUGGUGUAGCGGUGAAAUGCUUAGAUAUCAGGAGGAACAUCGGUGGCGUAAGCGCUUUACUGGGCCGUAAUUGACGCUGAGGAACGAAAGCCAGGGUAGCAAAUGGGAUUAGAUACCCCCGUAA
rnacentral:rRNA from 1 species